rnacentral:lncRNA from 1 species
CUGGGAUGGGUUAUGGAGAAGGCAAUACAGAGCAGGGAGUUUUGGGGGGGCUUCUCCUUGCCUUGGGUCAGUGCCCAAGGGGCCCUUCAUCCCCCUCCAACGUUGUCCCCCUGGCUGGAAGGCAGCAAGCUGCUACAACUGGCCUCAAUGCAGGCUUUCCAGCACGCAGGAAACAGGAAGGAGCGUUAUUUCUCAACAUAGAACAAACAGAAGACAGAAUUAACUCUAUCUUAAAGCUGCAUUACCACCCUGCUAUUCGCUUCCUGACUUCAGCUCAAGUGCCUACAGGCCCUGUCCUGCUAAGCUCUGUACAAGGCCUGACAUUUGACACCCAAGACCCCAGGACUUACACAGAGGCACAAGCGGAGGCCCUGGGGAAGAGGGUCCCCAUUUAGAAAACAGAAGAUGGACAUCCCCCAGAUUAUAGCUCAGAUCACCCAUGAACGGCCCCCUGCCAGGACCUUUGCCUCUGUCCUUCUUCCAGAGAUGAUGCUAGCUGAGGAGCCUCCUCUGCUGGGCACUGUGGGGGUUCAUUUGUGGGUGUCAGACAAAUCAGAUGGACUCAGAGCUUCUCUGCAUUUCUCACAUCCUUGCCACUCUGUUCCCUGUAGCAGAUUUCUCUUAUUUUUAGACAGCUCAUAUUGAGAUUAAAGUGGUUUAGAAAGCAUUAUAUAUAGAUGUGUAUACAUACCUCAAAUAUUUGCCUAGAUGUAUCUUAUCUAAACUUCUACAUGCAUCUGAAUUUCCCAGGCUUGAACUAUGUUUUGUGUAAAUUGGUGUUGUCUCACUGUCUUUGAGCAAGCUUAUUUACGUCAGCUCUGGAAUUAGACCCCAGUAUUCCAGCCAGCACUUAGCUGCAAGAGUCAAAAUAACAUGGAGACAUACUGUUUUCC